AGCAGCAGCUAGGGGUCCGUUUCCGGAGAACCUCCGGAAACCGGUGAGAGAGUCCCUCAAUACCUGAUACGGAUAAUGCCGCCGUAGGGAAGCUGGGACGGUCCGUC
rnacentral:ncRNA from 1 species